GACAGAGGGGGCAAGCGUUGUCCGGAUUGACUGGGCGUAAAGCGUCCGCAGGUGGCCCGGCAAGUGAUGACUGAAAUCUGGUGGCUUAACUGCCAGGAGCGUCGUCAAACUGGUGGGCUCGAGCCGGGCAGAGGUGCGUGGAAUUGCCGGUGUAGUGGUGAAAUGCGUAGAGAUCGGCAGGAACACCAAGGGGGAAGCCAGCGCACUGGGCCCGAGCUGACACUCAUGGACGACCGCGUGGGGAGCGAACCGG
rnacentral:rRNA from 1 species